rnacentral:rRNA from 1 species
ACCCGCUGAACUUAAGCAUAUCAAUAAGCGGAGGAAAAGAAACCAACAGGGAUUACCUCAGUAACGGCGAGUGAAGCGGUAACAGCUCAAAUUUGAAAUCUGGGUCUUUCAGGCUCCGAGUUGUAAUUUGUAGAAGAUGCUUUGGGUGCGGCCCCGGUCUAAGUUCCUUGGAACAGGACGUCAUAGAGGGUGAGAAUCCCGUAUGUGAUCGGUGGCUUGCGCCCGUGUAAAGCUCUUUCGACGAGUCGGGUUGUUUGGGAAUGCAGCUCUAAAUGGGUGGUAAAUUUCAUCUAAAGCUAAAUAUUGGCCAGAGACCGAUAGCGCACAAGUAGAGUGAUCGAAAGAUGAAAAGCACUUUGGAAAGAGAGUUAAACAGUACGUGAAAUUGUUGAAAGGGAAGCGCUUGCAACCAGACUUGCGCGGGGUUGAUCAUCCGGGGUUCUCCCCGGUGCACUCGGCCUCGCUCAGGCCAGCAUCGGUUUCGGUGGUUGGAUAAAGGCCUUGGGAAUGUGACUCCUCUCGGGGAGUGUUAUAGCCCUCGGUGCAAUGCAGCCUACCGGGACCGAGGACCGCGCUUCGGCUAGGAUGCUGGCGUAAUGGUUGUAAGCGACCCGUCUUGAAACACGGACCAAGGAGUCUAACAUCUAUGCGAGUGUUUGGGUGUCAAACCCAUACGCGUAAUGAAAGUGAACGGAGGUGAGAACCCUUAAGGGUGCAUCAUCGACCGAUCCUGAUGUCUUCGGAUGGAUUUGAGUAAGAGCAUAGCUGUUGGGACCCGAAAGAUGGUGAACUAUGCCUGAAUAGGGUGAAGCCAGAGGAAACUCUGGUGGAGGCUCGCAGCGGUUCUGACGUGCAAAUCGAUCGUCAAA